UAUUUACCUAUGUUUAGCUACCUGCUCUGUGUUAGGCAUGAAGCUGAGAGGCACUUUGACUCUCGCUAUUUAAGUACAUUUUGACCUCUAAGAGACUUAUUGUAAUUUACCUCAG
rfam:Callithrix jacchus clone CH259-400N6, complete sequence.